CCUACGGGUGGCUGCAGUGGGGAAUAUUGGACAAUGGGCGCAAGCCUGAUCCAGCCAUGCCGCGUGAGUGACGAAGGCCUUAGGGUUGUAAAGCUCUUUUGGCGGGGACGAUAAUGACGGUACCCGCAGAAUAAGCUCCGGCUAACUUCGUGCCAGCAGCCGCGGUAAUACGAAGGGAGCUAGCGUUGUUCGGAAUCACUGGGCGUAAAGCGCACGUAGGCGGAUUGCUAAGUCAGGGGUGAAAUCCCGGGGCUCAACCUCGGAACUGCCUUUGAUACUGACAAUCUCGAGUCCGGAAGAGGUGGGUGGAAUUCCUAGUGUAGAGGUGAAAUUCGUAGAUAUUAGGAAGAACACCGGUGGCGAAGGCGGCCCACUGGUCCGGUACUGACGCUGAGGUGCGAAAGCGUGGGGAGCAAACAGGAUUAGAUACCCUUGUAGUC
rnacentral:rRNA from 1 species